AGGGGCGUAGCAAAAUGGUUAUGCAGCGGUCUCCAACACCGUCUACGGGAGUUCGAUCCUCUCCGCCCCUGCCA
rnacentral:tRNA from 3 species